rnacentral:lncRNA from 1 species
GUUUAUCUCUUUUGGUUUUAUGGUUUUGUGGUGCUAAUGGUUUUUUCUGUAAAAGGUCCUCCUAGCCCGUUGACUGUUCGUUUACUUUCGUUAUCGAUUCUUUUGUCUCUGCGUAUGCCUAACACUGUCCUCUAGUUACAUGCCCAUAUAAUAGCUACUCACAACUACAAGCCUUCUCAUAAACUAGUGGAUUCUAAACGAAGAUGGAUGACCUCGAAACUAUUUUUAUAAACUCGCAACCUGAGACAACUAUAGAUCUGGACACCCAGACCGACUCUGUGAACCUUUCGUUGAUAUUCGGAAUUAAAACGCAAGAAUAUAUAAUUCAAUGGAACGUCUUAAGUGAUAUUAUAUGGGAUGAUAGUCUCGAUGACCUAAUGGCUGCUGCUCCGAUUGACGAAAUUCAUACAUUCAACUUCCCGGAUGAUGACAGUAUAUUCGAUCUGGUCGAUGAUAAUGACGAAGGGGACAGAAAACGAUUCGAGGAACUUCUUCGUGACGAAGAUAAUGCCGAAUAAAUAGCUGCGCUAGAAAGAGCCAAGACGUAAUUUUAAUAAUAUUCUUAUUUAUGUUUAAUACAAUUAAUUAAUGUAUUUUUCGACAAAUAAUAUGUAAUAAAUACAUUUAAAACGAUA